rnacentral:lncRNA from 1 species
AGUAGGGCUGGAUCAGGCGGAAGCCGGGGCCCGGGGCUGGGCUUCGUGUCCUGCGUUCCGGGAGCGCCAACCCCUCCAGCAGAGGGGACGUGGCUGGUGGCUGGAGAAGCUGGAUUUGCCCUUUGAUGGUGGCCCUCUUGAUCCCCGGCUUGCUGAAGUCAAAGGAGAGGCUGUCGAUGCUGAGGCACGAGAGAAUUUGCUCCUGCUCCUCCAGAGAAAAUGGCUGGGACAGGCUGUUGAGGAAUAAUUCUGCAGGGAAAAGUGGAAGAUGGCUGUGAAAGACUGGGAGGAGGCUGGCUGUGUUUUCAGGGGUUCUUCCUGCACAGUCGGUAGAAGCUGAGCUGCUGGGGAAGGGGCUGGAAGAAAGCCCACACCGCAGGUAUCAGUAGCAAAUUCAAAAACUACAGAAUCAGCUCCAGAGGACUUUGUUAACAAGAAAGAGAAGAUUGAAAACAGCCCUGGGGCUACACCAACUCAAGAGCUCCCAGGCAAAGUGGCAUCCUGGACCCACCAUCUCUCCUACCCCAUCCUCAGUCGGUACUUCCCCAGGCACCGUUUGUUCUGGCAUGGGGCUAGUUCAGCCCUGGGACCACCCUCAUCCUUAUAACUACCAGCUGUCUUUGGUGAGGUGCAAGAUCUCUCUGGUUUUCUUUAUUUCAUUUUCAUUCCUAUAAUCACAGCCUUUUUUGUGCCCAUCCCUCAGGUGACAUUCUAUUAUGUUUGAUGUGUCAUUUUUGAUUUGGUUGUGUCCUUGCAAAAUGUGCGUUGUUUUAUUUAUCAAUUUAUUUUUAUUUUUAUUUUUUUAAAGAGAUGAGGUCUCAUCAUGUUGCCCAGGCUGGACUCCAACUCCUGGGCUCAAGCGAUCCUUCCACCUCAAUCUUCUGAGUGGCUGGGACUACAGAUGUGCGCCACCAUACCUGGCUAUUGAUCAAUUUUUAGUUUACCAAACAGGCAUUAUGUUCUGGGUCCCAUUCUGUGUCGGGUUCUCUUUUCACUCGGCA